rnacentral:rRNA from 1 species
AUUGAACGCUGGCGGCAGGCUUAACACAUGCAAGUCGAGCGGAGCGAGGGUGCUUGCACCUUAGCUUAGCGGCGGACGGGUGAGUAAUGCUUAGGAAUCUGCCUAUUAGUGGGGGACAACAUUCCGAAAGGAAUGCUAAUACCGCAUACGCCCUACGGGGGAAAGCAGGGGAUCUUCGGACCUUGCGCUAAUAGAUGAGCCUAAGUCGGAUUAGCUAGUUGGUGGGGUAAAGGCCUACCAAGGCGACGAUCUGUAGCGGGUCUGAGAGGAAGAUCCGCCACACGGGGACUGGGACACGGCCCAGACUCCUACGGGAGGCAGCAGUGGGGAAUAUUGGACAAUGGGCGGAAGCCUGAUCCAGCCAUGCCGCGUGUGUGAAGAAGGCCUUUUGGUUGUAAAGCACUUUAAGCGAGGAGGAGGCUACUUAGAUUAAUACUCUGGGAUAGUGGACGUUACUCGCAGAAUAAGCACCGGCUAACUCUGUGCCAGCCGCCGCAGUAACAC